rnacentral:misc_RNA from 1 species
CCGAGUUCGUGCCCCGCAGCGGGGUAGAUCUCCCCACCCCUGUGUAUCUCGUACCCGUGUUGCUUUGGCAGGCCGCUGGGCUGCGGCCUGGCCACCGGCUUCCCCGAAGCUGGUGCGCGCCUGCCAGAGGCCCCCCAAACUCUUGUUUGUCUAGUGUCGUCUGAGCAUCAAUGCAAAUCGUUA